AUUGAACGCUGGCGGCAGGCCUAACACAUGCAAGUCGAACGGUAGCACAGAGAGCUUGCUCUCGGGUGACGAGUGGCGGACGGGUGAGUAAUGUCUGGGAAACUGCCCGAUGGAGGGGGAUAACUACUGGAAACGGUAGCUAAUACCGCAUAACGUCGCAAGACCAAAGUGGGGGACCUUCGGGCCUCACACCAUCGGAUGUGCCCAGAUGGGAGUUAGCUAGUAGGUGGGGUAAGGGCUCACCUAGGCGACGAUCCCUAGCUGGUCUGAGAGGAUGACCCGCCACACUGGAACUGAGACACGGUCCAGACUCCUACGGGAGGCAGCAGUGGGGAAUAUUGCACAAGGGGCGCAAGCCUGAUGCAGCCAUGCCGCGUGUAUGAAGAAGGCCUUCGGGUUGUAAAGUACUUUCAGCGGGGAGGAAGGCGGUGAAGUUAAUAACUUCACCGAUUGACGUUACCCGCAGAAGAAGCACCGGCUAACUCCGUGCCAGCCGCCGCAGUAA
rnacentral:rRNA from 1 species